GAGGAAUGUAUAGCAAUAGCUACUUGCAUCAUUGUAAUGAUGAUGCAAGCUCGACUAUGUUGAAUAAAAUUCUAGGUAGAAUUAUGAUAAUGACAUUGUCUGCCUAUGUGUCUUGACCAAAUUACGUGCCAGCAGUCGCGGUAAUACGUAGAAGACUAGCGUUAUUCAUGUUUAAUCGGUUUAAAGGGUACCUAGACGGUAAAUAAAGCUUUCAAAUAACAGAUAUAAGCCUGUGAGGCAGAACAAUCUGAUUAAAAGGACUAAUUUACUAGAGUUACUUAUGAGGGGGCAUUAAAGUACUGCUGGUGUAGAGAUGAAAUUCUUUUAUACCUAUUCUGUAUGGGGACAUAUGGCACAGGUAUAGGCGAAGGCAUCCCCUUAUGUGAUAACUGACGUUGAAGGACGAAGGCUUGUAUAGCGAACAGGAUUAGAUACCCUAGUAGUCGAAGCAGAAAAUGAUGAAUGUCAUAGAUUAGAUGUAUAAGUUUAUUCUAUAAAUGAAAGUGUAAGCAUUCCACCUCAUGAGUAAUUUGGCAACAUUGGAACUGAAAUCAUUAGACCGUAUCUGAAACCAG
rnacentral:rRNA from 1 species